rnacentral:rRNA from 1 species
UACGGGGGGGGCAAGCGUUGUUCGGAAUUACUGGGCGUAAAGGGUGCGUAGGCGGUUCGCUAAGUCGGGAUGUGAAAACUCUGGGCUCAACCCAGAGCCUGCAUCCAAAACUGGCGGGCUAGAGUUCUGGAGGGGGUAGCGGAAUUCCUGGUGUAGCGGUGAAAUGCGUAGAUAUCUGGAGGAACACCGGUGGCGAAGGCGGCAUCCUGGACCGGUAUUGACGCUGAGGCGCGAAAGCUAGGGGAGCAACGGGG